UAGCUUAAGAACAAAACACAAAGCUCUCCUUCUACUAGCCCUAACCCACUAUAACCCACCACUCAUCAUCAGAGCUUGGCCAUCAUCGCACAAAAUUAGCUUCACGCAGCCCUCACCAUCUAGUCCUAACCCGCCGUCGAAGAAAGCAGUUUGUGGUGCGUCGUGACUGCGUCUCUGCUCUCCUUGCUGCGUGGGUCGUUGCUGCUUCUCCCCUCUCCUUGUCGUGUGGUCGUUGCUGCCUUGGCCGUCGAUGCUUUUCCUCGUUGUUUAUGGGUUGUCACCUCUUCUGCUUUUGCUUUGCUGCUUCUGCUAUCACACUGUCGUCUGCCCCUCUGGACAUCGUUGCUUCUGAAUCGCAUCCUAUCACUGGUUUUCUGCCUCCUCGUUAUGGCUCAACCUCUGUUUAGGCACAUCUGCAAGCUGAGAAUAAAAAGUCUAAAAAAACCAGCAAUUAGAGCUUUCCAAUCUAUAUUUAGGAAAGAGAAGGUAGGGUGAGUGUGAUGUCACGAAAGAAUUACCAUACCAACUUUAUUCAAGAAAAAUGAAGAAAUUGCCACCCUUAAGCAGCAACAUGCAAAAGAGAAAGCAACCUUAGAGGGUAAGGUUGAUGUGAUGCAACAAGAAGUAGAUGAACUAAAAUCUCAGCAACUAAAAAGUUCAGGAGUAGACCUUGAGAUGUUAACUGCUCAACUAGGAAGUACUUCAGGCAAUCCGAACAAUGAUGCUAAUGAGGAGGAAAACAUAUCGAAGGGAAAACAAAUUUGAGAGUAAAAGUCAUAAAAUUGUGGACAUGAUGAUAAACUUACUCGCUACUUGGUUACUUCAACUCUCUUUUGUUAUUGAAUAUUUUGCAAAGAUGAUAUAGUUAGAGGUCGUUAUGACUUAGACUAGUAUUAUGACAUUUUGAAAAGUGAUGAUGUUAUAAUUAGAAGUGGUUAUGACUUAGAGUAGUAUUAUGGUAUUUUGCAAUAAUGCUAUAAUGUGAUUGUGGAUUUUACAGAAUACUUUAUAAAUCAAAUUUGAUGGUAAAUAUUCAAUUAGUUUCA